rnacentral:lncRNA from 1 species
CUCACAGUUAGCCACACUGCUAAAACCACUUCAUGAGCUCCUUGGGCAGAACAAGGCCUGGAAGUGGACUGAAGCCUGUGAUGUUGCAUUUAACAAAGCUAAGGAUGCAUUGCUAAAUUCUGAAGUUCUAACGUACUUUGAUCCAUCCUUACCCCUACAAUUGGCCUGCGAUGCCUCCCCUUAUGGAGUGGGAGCAGUCGUGUCACACAUUAUGCCUUCGGGAGAAGAGAGACCUAUUGCUUUUGCUUCAUGCACUCUAAGCAAAGCAGAAACUAACUAUGCCCAAAUCGAAUGUGAGGCAUUAGGAAUUGUUUUUGGAAUUCGGAAGUUUCAUCAGUACCUGUUUGAGCGGAAGUUUACUCUUCUCACAGACCGUCGACCUCUGAUGUCAAUUUUUGGACCCUACACCGGCAUUCCUCCAUUAGCUGCUAGUCGUAUGCAACGUUGGGCAUUGUUACUUUCAGCACACACAUAUGAAAUCAAAUAUCGGAAAUCCACUCUGCACGGCAAUGCAGAUGGCCUCUCAAGGUUGCCUUUGCCGGUCAAACAUCAAGACAGUGCCCAAAAGGAAAUCUUCUACUUUGAACAGAUAGAGAAUACACCCAUCACUGCUACUCAGAUAAAGAAGGCAACUCACGUUGACCCAGCAUUGUCCCAAGUUAUGGACCUCGUGGUGCAUGGAAAAUCUCGACAAACCUCUCUGGUCUCACCCGACCUUGUUACCUACAUGUCCAGGAGGAUGGAGUUAUCGGUCCAAUCUGGUUGGUUGUUGUGGGAGAGACAUGUCAUUAUUCCACCACCACUGAUAUCACAGGUGUUAGAACAGCUACAUUCCGGUCACUGUGGAAUAGUGCGCAUGAAGGAAAUUGCACGAAGCUAUUUUUGGUGGCCUGCAUUGGACAGUGCUAUUGAAGAGAAAACAAAAGCUUGUAUGUUAUGUCAGGGUGUGAAGAAUGCACCCCUACACCCAUGGGACUGGCUUGAAAACCCAUGGCAACGUAUUCACAUUGACUUCGCUGGGCCCCUUGAAGGAAGUAUGUUCUUGAUGGCAGCAGAUGCCCAUUCUAAAUGGCCAGAAGUCUCUAUAAUGCAGUCCACUACUGCAGAGAAUACUAUCCGAAAACUACAGGGACUCGUUUUGGUCUGCCAGAACAACUUGUGAGCGACAACGGACUGCAGUUCAUCUCUCAGGAGUUUCAAAAUUUUAUGAAGGCAAAUGGGAUACACCACAUCACGUCAGCACCAUAUCA